ensembl:lncRNA
GUCCUGCUCUUCUGAAUUUCCAUUAAUUCUCCAAGCCAAGACUUGCUGCACUAUAGUGAGUGAAGAACAGUUCCAUCUCGUUUCUGACAGAGGGCAGCAUUUCGUUUUCUACCACAGAGAGGUGUAUUCCUGGAGCUUGCAAAUGACGCCAGCUCAAAAUAAAGAAAAACAAAUUGAAAUGAGGAUUUUAAUCACUGUGAAGGGAAUGAAAGGCUGUGUCAGCGUUUCCAUGCUCGCAGCUUGAGCUCCAGGGAUGCGAGGGGAAUGAAGAUCACAAAUGUCAGCCAAAGAGGAGGCACUCUGGGUGAAACAAGAUGCAGUCUGAACCUUGGUCACAUCACAUCCAAGUCACCUCUGCUUGUUUGGCUUCAAACAGUAUCAGCAGAUAUUUCACUUGUAAUCAGAAAGAGAUCAAGCUAUUUCUCCAAAAGAAGUACCUGCGGUGAGGAUUCAGAUCUAAGAAGAGUGAGCCCCCAGGAGGGUGGACAGGCUGCAUGAGGAGCCCCGGAAACCCUGGACGUGACAGCAGGAGCUUACACUUGACCACGCUCAGAGGAGGAAUUGUCUCAUAGAGAUUUCAGUCUGGAGCUAGAGGCAAGGACUUGGGACCCAUCCUGACAAUGAAAGCAACCCCACAGAUGCACUGGGAUUUUCACUGGAGCGUCUAUAGGGGCUUUAUAAACAGCAGUGAAUCUUCACAGACCCCUUCACAGGGAGCCAGGUAGGAAGGAGGCUUCUCUCUUUGGAGAUGGAGGUACCAAGCUGGGAGGUGAUUUAUCUGAGAGCGUGAAAUGCCAGUGACCAACAAGGAAAUGCGUUUUCAAGCAUCCAGUUGAACCCACAGUUCUUUGAUGCUGAC